UACGAAGGGUGCAAGCGUUAAUCGGAAUUACUGGGCGUAAAGGGUGCGUAGGCGGUUGUUUAAGUCUGUCGUGAAAUCCCCGGGCUCAACCUGGGAAGUGCAUCGCAAACUAUCUAACUGGAGUAUAUGAGAGGGUGGCGGAAUUUCCGGUGUAGCGGUGAAAUGCGUAGAGAUCGGAAGGAACAUCAGUGGCGAAGGCGACUUCCUGGACCAAUACUGACGCUCAGGUGCGAAAGCGUGGGGAGCAAACAGG
rnacentral:rRNA from 1 species